CCCCCGUGCGACCCGGCCUCCGCCGCCGCCACCGCUUCGGGCCGCCGUCUCGGCCUCUGCCUCCACCCCCGUAGCUGCACCGUCUCGUCCUCCGCCACCGCAGCCGGCCGUGGACUGGGCCACCAUUUGUCAUCUAACCUAAUGUACUUCACAUGUAUCCAGAUUUGUGUGUGAUGUACUAAGAUGUACUACCGGAUGAGACACUUACUAUUGAGAUGAUGGCAUGAUUUACUUACUUUCGUUGUGGAUGAGAUAUUAGGUUUUGUCUACAUUUUAGAUAGACUAGCAGGUGUGCCCGCGCGUUGCUACGGGUCAAUAAAAUCAUGACGCUGUCGAGGUCGGCAUGUGGGUGUGGUGGCGUCGGUUGUAAGAUGAAGUAGGAAAAAUCGUGAAAAAAAUUGGAGGAAAAAAAAAUAACGGGCAGUGGCAUAUUGGUUGUAAUUUUAACUGGAAGAAAAAAAAAUAACGAACAGUGGCA
rnacentral:lncRNA from 1 species